GCUUACGGCCAUACCACCCUGUCUGGGCCCGAUCUCGUCUGAUCUUGGAAGCUAAGCAGGGUCGGGCCUGGUUAGUGCUUGGAAGUGAGACUGCUUGGAUGGGAGACUGCCUGGGAAUACCAGGUGCUGUAAGCU
rnacentral:rRNA from 1 species